AAAAAGAGUGAAAAAAGUAAAGCGUGGAUAAUAAGGAAUAAAGAGUGAAUAACAGAAAUAAAGAGUGAAUAAGGAGUGAAUAAGGAGUGAAUAACAAUAAAGAGUGAAUAAAGAGCAAAUAAGGAUUGAAUAAAGAGUGAAUACGGAGUGAAUAACAAUAAAGACUGAAUAAGGAGCAAAUAAGGAUUGAAUAAAGAGUGAAUAAGGAGUGAAUAACAAUAAGGAGUGAAUAAAGAGUGAAUAAGGAGUGAAUAAGGAGUAAAUAAGGAGUGAAUAAGGAGUGAAUAACAAUAAAGAGUGAAUAAGGAGUGAAUAACAAUAAGGAGUGAAUAAGGAGUGAAUAACAAUAAAGAGUGAAUAAAGAGUGAUAAGGCAUGAAUAAGGAGUGAAUAAAGAGUGAAUACGGAGUGAAUAACAAUAAGGAGUGAAUAAGGAGCAAAUAAGGAUUGAAUAAAGAGUGAAUAAGGAGUGAAUAACAAUAAGGAGUGAAUAAAGAGUGAAUAAGGAGUGAAUAAGGAGUAAAUAAGGAGUGAAUAACAAUAAAGAGUGAAUAAGGAGUGAAUAAGGAGUGAAUAAGGAGUGAAUAACAAUAAAGAGUGAAUAAAGAGUGAUAAGGAGUGAAUAACAAUAAGGAGUGAAUAAAGAGUGAUAAGGAGUGAAUAAGGAGUGAAUAACAAUAAAGAGUGAAUAAAGAGUGAUAAGGAGUGAAUAAGGAGUGAAUAACAAUAAGGAGUGAACAAAGACUGAAUGAGGAGUGAAUAAUAAUAAGGAGUGAAUAAAGAGUGAUAAGGGGUGAAUAAAGAGUGAUAAGGAGUGAAUAAAGAGUGAAUAAGGAGUGAAUAUGGAGUGAAUAAGGAGUGAAUAACAAUAAGGAGUGAAUAAAGAGUGAUAAGGAGUGAAUAAGUAGUGAAUAACAUUAAUAAGUAUUGAAUAAUGUGCUCCCGCGAGGACGUUUGUCUUAUUUUUUUAAACAGAUGUUUCUUUGAGGAAGUUUUUGUUGCCUUCGUUUUUGAAAACUCCAACACGGUAACCUAGCAACCACCGCUUGGUGCGCGUCGCCGGGGGCGCGCCCCAGUCCGCGCCGCGCGCUCCCGUUACAUAACGCCAGUGUUGUGCCAUAGCGCCAAGGCAAACAGUGAGUUACCGGGGCUGCGGGCUGUUGUCGCGCUGCCAUGGAGACGGUUGCCUCGCGCACCGGCGUGUUUACGGUGUGUUUUAAAUAUCCCGACCUGAACUCCCGGCCUGAGAGAGGAACAAAGAGCGCGCGCACUCGCGUGAGCAUGCGUGUUCGUGUGUUCAUGUGUGUGUGUGUGUGUGUGUGUGUGUGUGUGAUAAGGAAGAGAUGACAGAUAGCCGUGUGGUGUGCUGGACAGAUUGUCUUUGUCUCUGGCCUGGAGGAAACUCCUCAAAAGAAGCUGUCAGAAUGAUCAACAGCCCAGAGGAAGGUCCGGAUGUUUGUCUGUUUGAAAAAUCCCUCAGUAAUAACAAUCAUCCCAUACAUCAGCUCUGUCCAGUGCGUCCUGCAGUUACUCUGCGUUUAGAAAGAUGGCUUCUGAGAGCAAUUUUCUUUUAAUUAUACGAGCGGUAGUGGUUACCCAUAAACCCCAGGAGGGAAAAAGAGUUCGGAGACUGCAGUGUGCAUUAAUAAAUGAACGCGUAGAGAAGGAACAAUGAAUAAACGCUAUCAGGUUUUCUCACUCAUCUCGCAUUAUCUGUAUCCCCAUCUUGUCCUCGUGUUGGUCCGAGCUGCGGUGCACACUGAUGAGUCUGACAGUGCCGGUCCUAGUCCAUUUGGUUCCCUAGGCGAGAUUCAUCCCCAACGCCCCCGACCACACACACCAAAAAAAAAACACUCAUUUCUCGUACUCAAUAGUAUUUUACUUACUUCAGUAAUACAAAAAUGAUCAAAUAAAACAAAUUUUUGAAAAUAAAUAGCCAUGUGGACGCCGGCGUCUGUGGAUCUAGGUCAGACGUACUUGUUUUUCCAGUUUUCAAGUUCAAGUUCAAGUGCCUUUAUUGUCAUUUCAGCCAUAUACAGCUGGUACGGUUCACAGUGAAACGAAACAGUGUUCUUCCAGGACCACGGUGCUACAUAAAACAACACACUAACCACAUGAGAUGACACGGAACUAAACACGACCUACACAUUUCUGCAUAAAGUGCACGUGCAAGUGUGUGCUAACAACACAGGACAGUACAAUACUACUAAACUAAAUGUCUACGAUGGAGGGAAGAGAGACCCCGAGGAUCUUCUCAGCUGUCCUCACGAUCCGCUGCAGGGUCUUGCGAUACGUUGAGGUGCAAUUUCCGAACCAGACAGUGAUGCAGCUGCUCAGGAUGCUCUCAGUGGUUCUCUGUAGAACGUGGUGAGGAUGAGGGAUGGGAGAUGGGCUUUUUUCAGCCUUCGCAGAAAGUAGAGACACUGCUGGGGUUCCUUAGAUUUGGAGCUGGUGUUGAGGGACCAGGUGAGAUUCUCCGUCAGGUGAACACCAAGGAAUUUGGUGCCCUUGACGAUCUUGAUGGAGGAUCCUUGGAUGUUCAAUGGAGAGUGGGCGCGCCGUGCUCGCCUGAAGUCAACAACCAUGUCUUUUGAUUUGUCCAUGUUCAGAGACAGGUUGUUGGCUCUGCACCAGUCUGUUAAUCGCUGCACCUCCUCUCUGUAUGCUGACUCGUCGCUCUUGCUGAUGAGACCCACCAUGGUUGUGUCACUGGCGAACUUGAUGAUCUGGUUGGAGCUGUGCGUUGCUGCACAGUCGUGAGUUAGCAGAGUGAACAGCAGUGGACUGAGCACACAGCCCUGAGGGACCCCCGAGCUCAGUGUGGUGGUGCUGGAGAUUCUGUUCCCGAUCCGGACUGAUUGAGGUCUCCCAGUUAGGAAGUCCGGGAUCAAGCUGCAGGUGGAGGUGUUCAGGCCCAGUAGGUUCAGAAUUCAGCCAAUCCUGGUCUUCGUUGUAAAUCCAUCAUCUAAAUAAUUUUACACCAAAAAAAUGACAAAUGAUAUAGAACUUGUAAUAAGCUUACUUUUGUUUUUUCUUUUCAUGCUUUGCCUCGUCUUCUUUUUUCUAAAUUGAGCUCCCGAUGUUUUUUGUCGCUUCAUUUUGCAGUCCAUAAUUCCUUAAAAAAACUAAAUCAUUAUCACUGACACUCACACACAUUUCACAGUCACACAGAGACACCAACGGUGAUGACUGAGAAGUAUGAUGUACUUUUUAAUAUGAUUAAAAAAUUUAU